rnacentral:lncRNA from 1 species
AGCCCGUAGCAAUUUUGCAUUUUUCACAGGGUUUAUUAUGAGCUCUCCAACAGUUUUACCCUAUGGUCUCCUGGGAUUGUGUCACAGUUGGUUUUCAUUUAAUGGUGUUAAUCAAGAAGUAACUGUGAAACUGAUGUUUGUCACUGCUGCAGCUAGACCAUUCACCUGACAGCAAAAGGAACUCAUAUUCAGAGGGAGAGGGAAAAAUACGACUACCCAUAGGGGGGUUACGCUGGGGCCUCCUCCUUUCUCCCACAGCUAAUUCCUUGGCAGCAUUACGUACAAUAAAAUAAACCAGCGUUCAGAGGAAAAGGUUGCUCCGCUGAGCCUUUCAGUGUGGCGAGCCCUGAUCUCAUCCGCUCCGCUUCUUCCGUGCUGUAGUGCAGUUGUCCCACUAGAUGUCAGGGCCGAGCACGGAGCGAGCAGACAAGGCCCAGCUCCCAGAGCAGCCGCUCCUGCAGAACUCCUGCUGCUCUUCAAGGCCGCGGCGCUGAGCGGCUGCUUGGAGGAAGGCAAAACGUCCUGCGUGCUGCUGGGGAAAGGCAAGGAAGCAGGAGGGGGCCUUCCUGGGUGCUGUCCUGCCUUCCUUAAUCUGUAGAGAUUUGUGUGCUUAAUUGGCUUAGUAGAAGAAAGCAGAGUUAUAAAUGAGCCUGGAAGGUGUCCAUGUGUUACCUGUGAGAUUAUUGAGGGUGCAGCUCUGCAGCAGCUUAAAGCAGAUCUAAAAGGGGAGGGAGAAAACGCUGCCAGAAAAAGUGCACGCUUGUCACGAUGAGGUAAGGACCGUUUGUUCAGCCACACAGAGCAGCCUGUGACCCGUCACGCUCUGGAAGCGCUGUGUUGUGUAUCAGACCCCCAGAUCUGGAACAGACUCCACUCAUCGUUUCGUCCCAGAUACAUGCGUACAGUGGGGGUCAGGCCCGGGGAGUCCAUCAUAACCAUCAGUGUUACUUGGUUCAAGAGCUAUACAAACACACAACCCAGCCGCACUGGGAGUGGGGCAGCACCUUGCACCCAAGCAGAGCUUCCAGCACAGCAAAGGCUUUAUCUACAAACCAAACUGGUUAUAAACAGAGAAAUGAAGGAGGUUAACCCACAUGUCAAGGAAGAGGAACAAAGCUGCUCAUGCUUUCUCCAGAUGAUUAAAGUUGAUUGCUUAACAGGAAUACAACUUAGGUGGUUUAUUUUUCAAAAUAGUUGGCAUUUGUCUCAUUACGCAACAGGGUUUGAGACACAGACUUGUUGAAAGAGAGAGCCUUGCACCAAACUGCUCAGAUGAAAUCUUCAGCAUCCCUCAGCACCGGCAAUAUUUAUUGCAAAAAACAUAUUCCUUUAAACAUAUCUUCAUUAUUAAUUUGUCAUGAAAAAAAGGUUUUCUUCCCUCUCUGUACUUAUUGUCUGAGCACUGAGGAAACAAGAAUAACGAUAAUAU